rnacentral:rRNA from 1 species
AUUGAACGCUGGCGGCAUGCUUUACACAUGCAAGUCGAACGGUAACGGGGACUUCGGUCUGCCGACGAGUGGCGAACGGGUGAGUAAUAUAUCGGAACGUGCCCAGUAAUGGGGGAUAGCUCGGCGAAAGCCGGAUUAAUACCGCAUACGCCCGUGAGGGGGAAAGUGGGGGAUCUUCGGACCUCACGUUAUUGGAGCGGCCGAUAUCAGAUUAGCUAGUUGGUGGGGUAAAGGCCUACCAAGGCGACGAUCUGUAGCUGGUCUGAGAGGAUGAUCAGCCACACUGGGACUGAGACACGGCCCAGACUCCUACGGGAGGCGAGUCAGUGGGGAAUUUUGGACAAUGGGCGAAAGCCUGAUCCAGCCAUGCCGCGUGAGUGAAGAAGGCCUCGGUUGUAAG